AUUGAACGCUGGCGGCAGGCCUAACACAUGCAAGUCGAGCGAGCGGCGGACGGGUGAGUAAUGUCUGGGAAACUGCCUGAUGGAGGGGGAUAACUACUGGAAACGGUAGCUAAUACCGCAUACCAUAAGAUGUGUCCAGAUGGGUUUAGCUAGUAGGUGGGGUAACGGCUCACCUAGGCGACGAUCCCUAGCUGGUCUGAGAGGUUGACCAGCCAAACUGGAACUGCGACACGGUCCAGACUCCGACGGGAGGCAGCAGUGGGGAAUAUUGCACAAUGGGCGCAAGCCUGAUGCAGCCAUGCCGCGUGUGUGAAGAAGGCCUUCGGGUUGUAAAGCACUUUCAGCGGGGAGGCGUUACCCGCAGAAGAAGCACCGGCUAACUCCGUGCCAGCAGCCGCGGUAAUAC
rnacentral:rRNA from 1 species